CAUGCGGCUGCACCUUCUUAUUCUUCUUCUUCUUGUUCUUCUUCCCUUUCUUAAAGGGUCGAAGACCAGAAGAAGACCCUCCCACAAUAUUCACCGACUCCUUAUAGAGCUGAUGGUCCGUCUCAAAGUUCUGCAGCAACCCCACCAAGUCAUGGUAGUUCACUGCAAGUUUUGUCAUCCAAAAAUGAGUAAGGAAGGGG
rnacentral:lncRNA from 1 species